CAGCAGCCGCGGUAAAACGGAGGGGGCUAGCGUUGUUCGGAAUUACUGGGCGUAAAGCGCACGUAGGCGGCUUGGUAAGUUAGAGGUGAAAGCCCGGAGCUCAACUCCGGAAUUGCCUUUAAGACUGCCGAGCUAGUAGGUGAGAGAGGUAAGUGGAAUUCCGAGUGUAGAGGUGAAAUUCGUAGAUAUUCGGAAGAACACCAGUGGCGAAGGCGGCUUACUGGCUCAUUCUAGACGCUGAGGUGCGAAAGCGUGGGGAGCAAACAGGACUAGAUACCCCGGUAGUCCCUGUCUCUUAUAC
rnacentral:rRNA from 1 species